CCGCGCUUCCUGACCGGGUCCCUCUGCACCAACGUGGGUGGGGGAGGGGCGCACACCCUUUUAGCCUAGGCUUUUGCCGGGUAACCGCGCUGCAUCUGAAGACCUUUCCUGAACCCUGCCGUGCUUCUCGUAGGGACAAGGGGGCUUUAUUGUGUGUCCAAUUCGUGCGCUGCAGCAAAAUGGCCCUUCAGUCUCAUUUUGAGGGAUUCUCGGCAGGGUUCAAAUGCUCCAGCGGUGAAAGAAAAAAAAAAAAAAUCCAGAAGGGAGGAAAAAAAGAGCGACGCCCUCCCUCCCCCAUUAAUUAUUUGUGGGGCUGGAGUAGCGCGGGCUGGUGCAACCGGUGCAUAUAAGGACUUGUGUGCAAAGAAGGGGAUCCGCCUCCAGCCGCGGAACGAAUGAGGGAGAAGCGCACUCCUGUGGGCGCCCAGCGCCCCCCCAUCCCCCGGGCCUCGGCAAUCUACAACUGUCGCAGGGUCGGGUCCGCCAGCAGCCCCGGGAAUCCCAGAUGGCAGUUCUGGACGGGUCACUUCCCGCCUCGAGGUUGGGAAGGUUUGCCAGAAGCGGGAAAGUCGGGCGAUCUGAGCUCCUUCUUGGCCUCGCCACACCCCGGACCUGUCCAUGCCGCAAUUCCCCCACGGAAACGACCGAAUUGAAACGAGAAUUGUUCUCCGGGUGCAGUGGUUUGAAUGCUUCAGAUUGUUGGAGCUGUAACUUGGGUUUUCUGCCCGUCAGUAUCCAAAGGGUGAUAGGUGUCUGAAAUCAGAACAGAGAAACCUGGAAGUUAAGAAGAACAGCAACAGACUGAAAAUGAAUUCAUGGAAGAGACACAGCAUGACUUCUGAGGCUAGACCAUGAGAAACUUUGCAGCUUCCACUUCGUUCCCUUGGAACUUCCCCUGGAUGGGAAGAAUGUUGCCAUACAGGGUAUCCAACUACUUGGAAGUUGCCAUGCUUGGAGGAAGCCCAAACUGGCCUGUGGAGAAGACCCAGAGAGAGAAGAGAGGCCUAACCAGACCCCAAAUGUUCCAGCUAUUCCAGCUAAGGAGGCAGACACCAGGGAAGAAGCCAUCAGGAUGCCCACCACAAUGGACUCAUCAGGUGUCUCCAGCUCCAGUCACUUCCUACAGUGACUGCAUAAAAUCUUGAAAGACAGUUGCUCAGCUGAGCUCUGUUAUCCCACAGAAAUGUGAGGGAUAAUAAGGAAUUAUUAUUUUAAGCCACUGACUUGUGGGGUGGUUUGUUAAACAGCA
ensembl:lncRNA